UAGGGAAUCUUCCGCAAUGGACGCAAGUCUGACGGAGCAACGCCGCGUGAGUGACGAAGGUUUUCGGAUCGUAAAGCUCUGUUGCCAGGGAAGAACGGGUGAGGGAGUAACUGCCCUUGCCAUGACGGUACCUGAGAAGAAAGCCCCGGCUAACUACGUGCCAGCAGCCGCGGUAAUACGUAGGGGGCAAGCGUUGUCCGGAAUUAUUGGGCGUAAAGCGCGCGCAGGCGGACUUGUAAGUCUGGUGUCUAAGACUGGGGCUCAACCCUGGAACGCACCGGAAACUGCAAGACUGGAGUGCAGGAGAGGAAAGUGGAAUUCCACGUGUAGCGGUGAAAUGCGUAGAGAUGUGGAGGAACACCAGUGGCGAAGGCGACUUUCUGGCCUGUAACUGACGCUGAGGCGCGAAAGCGUGGGGAGCAAACA
rnacentral:rRNA from 1 species